GCUCAUGUAGUUUAAUUAAAAUACUGGUUUGUGGAGCCAGAGAUAUAUAAAUAUAUUUUGGGCA
rnacentral:tRNA from 1 species